rnacentral:rRNA from 1 species
AAAUGCGUAGUCGAUGGAAACAGGAUUAUAUUCUGUCCUGGUGAUAAUUGCGAUGGGGGGACGGAGAAGCUAGGCUGUCGGCCGACGGUUGUCCCCGAUUUAAGGAUGUAGGUGGGUGAUAUAGGCAAAAUCCGGUUUCGCUAUACACUGAGGUCUGAUGAUGAGUCACUACGGUGGUGAAGUAGCUCAUGCCCCGUUCCAGGAAAAGCCUCUAAGCUCUAGAUUAUCAUUAAUCGUACCCCAAACCGACACAGGUGGUCAGGUAGAGAAUACUCAGGCGCUUGAGAGAACUCGGGUGAAGGAACUAGGCAAAAUGGUGCCGUAACUUCGGGAGAAGGCACGCUGGCAUUAGGUGAAGUGGUUUACCCAUGGAGCCGAAGCCAGUCGCAGAUACCAGCUGGCUGCAACUGUUUAUUAAAAACACAGCACUGUGCAAACACGAAAGUGGACGUAUACGGUGUGACGCCUGCCCGGUGCUGGAAGGUUAAUUGAUGGGGUUAUCCGUAAGGAGAAGCUCUUGAUCGAAGCCCCAGUAAACGGCGGCCGUAACUAUAACGGUCCUAAGGUAGCGAAAUUCCUUGUCGGGUAAGUUCCGACCUGCACGAAUGGCGUAAUGAUGGCCAGGCUGUCUCCACCCGAGACUCAGUGAAAUUGAACUCGCUGUGAAGAUGCAGUGUACCCGCGGCAAGACGGAAAGACCCCGUGAACCUUUACUAUAGCUUGACACUGAACAUUGAGCCUUGAUGUGUAGGAUAGGUGGGAGGCUUUGAAGUGUGGACGCCAGUCUGCAUGGAGCCAACCUUGAAAUACCACCCUUUAAUGUUUGAUGUUCUAACGUAGCCCCAUAAUCUGGGGUGCGGACAGUGUCUGGUGGGUAGUUUGACUGGGGCGGUCUCCUCCCAAAGCGUAACGGAGGAGCACGAAGGUUGGCUAAGCAUGGUCGGACAUCAUGCGGUUAGUGCAAAGGCAUAAGCCAGCUUGACUGCGAGAGUGACGGCUCGAGCAGGUACGAAAGUAGGUCUUAGUGAUCCGGUGUUUCUGAAUGGAAGGCCCAUCGCUCAACGGAUAAAAGGUACUCCGGGGAUAACAGGCUGAUACCGCCCAAGAGUUCAUAUCGACGGCGGUGUUUGGCACCUCGAUGUCGGCUCAUCACAUCCUGGGGCUGAAGUAGGUCCCAAGGGUAUGGCUGUUCGCCAUUUAAAGUGGUACGCGAGCUGGGUUUAGAAUGUCGUGAGACAGUUCGGUCCCUAUCUGCCGUGGGCGUUGGAAGAUUGAAAGGGGCUGCUCCUAGUACGAGAGGACCGGAGUGGACGCACCGCUGGUGUUCGGGUUGUCAUGCCAAUGGCACUGCCCGGUAGAUAAGUGCGGAAGAGAUAACCGCUGAAAGCAUAUAAGCGGGAAACUUGCCUUGAGAUGAGUCUCCCCUGACUCUUUAAGGGUCCUAAAGGAACGUUUAAGACGAAGACGUUGAUAGGCUGGGUGUGUAAGCGUAGCGAUACGUUGAGCUAACCAGUAAUAAUGAACCGUGAGGCUUAACCUG